AGAAGAAGAAGAGGAACUGUAGGAGUGAGCCCUCCUCUUACAUAAACGAUCUGUGUAGUGCACCGUUCACCCUCACGUCGCUCCGGAGAAACUCUGCCUGGAAACACCGCGGGCUGGUCGGGAGCGGAGGCCAACAGAGACGAGCGGUUGUCGUGGGUUCCGUGGGGUGUGACUUGUUGAUGAUGGGAGGGGGGUCGAGCCACGAGACGAGGCCUGAGGAGACACCAGAGGAAACGCACAAACGUCAACAACAGUGUCCCGACACCGACAGCGCCGGGCCUGCUGCUUCUGAAGAUACCCCAGGAGAGCUGCCCCAGUGCAGGAUGGGAAACAGGAAGGUGGACGACAUGUGUUUCAUGAUCUCGUGCACCAACUGGUACUAAACUGGUCCUGGACCAGAAAAGGUUAAUGAGAGCACAACUGAGCGAGAAGGUGGAAAACCUGGAGUUGUCCUGGGAAACGAAGCCGCCAAAAUUCCCAAUGAAGCCGUCGCCUGAGUUCCACCCACUUGCUGCGUUGCUGGUCUCAACUGUAUUUGUAAAAUGGAUGAAUGUGAAUUCUGCUGUUUCUACUAACUGCUAUGUGUAACAGACUGUUUGUGAGCUACAACAUUCAGAAGCUAGUGUAAUGAGACCAUAACAUAGAUCCCACACUCUGGCCCAUAUCUGGACCCAGAUGCAGUUUUGUUCUGACCAAAAGUCAGACUUCAGUGCAGUGACCCACGUGGUUGGAUUACUGGAUGGGCCCACCAGGCACAGGCCCAGGAGACCAAGGGGUCAGGGGACCCCAGACCAGAGAGCUCUGAAGGGACUGUUAACCUUUCUAUUGGAAAGUCAGCCUGGUGACUACAAAGAGCAACAGAAUGAGAAGAACAGAUGCUAAACAACCAGAAGAAGACACAAACUGAACACAGAUCCUGUUGGUUGCUCAGUCUGAGUCUUGCUCCUGGAAGUGUAGGAGAGGUCGGGGCCUUUUACAUGUCUGUGCCCAGGGGCCCAUUGUCUCAUAAUCCAUCCAUGACACAUCACCCUACCUGUCAUCGUUCAGCUUAGAGGGAGGCGUUCGGGACAGAGAAGCUCGACACCAGAGUUUGUUGUGAAGUAAAAAGCUGCUGUCCUAAAGACUUUGAACCAGGUCAAACCUGUCCUCAGAUGAACCACAGCGUCUGAGAUCAUCAGCAAAAUAACAGCUAAUUCAGAACUAUGAAAUCCCUUGGAGAGAACCAACAUAUAAAACUACCACCACAGUAUCACUGCGUCGACCGUGCCAUGAGUUUAUCACGCAACGCUGCACGUGCACUUAUAGAGCAGCAGUAACAGCAGCCAUAAAGCAAAGUAUCCUUCUGCUAUAAAACCAUCAGGAGGAUUUUCUAAACCUGGAGCAGAAAGUGAGAAGCACAGAAGCUAUUAGAGGCUAAACAGCCUCUCGAAGAGGAGUUAUAUCAGGAAACGAUAAUGAGGCUAAUGUGUCACAGCACGUGUUGCCAGAAUGUAAAACCAAUGCAACAAACUCAGAUAAAAGUGGAAAUUGAAUUUAGCAUUCUUUAUUAAUUGGCUAAUCAAUUAGUAAGGAACCCAGAUGGCACCGUGCUCCAGGUAAACACAGGUGAAAGCAUUGACCCCAAACUGACCUUUAAAUCCACUUUAUUCAUGAGAGGCACAGUCGGGGAAGGAGAUGAGAUGAUGUGCAUGUUGACGGAGUGGAGAUGGUAUCCCAGGAAUUAUUCACAUCUGUUUUUGUCCUGACAGUAAUAAAGAUCGUCUGUUCUCGGCGUAAAGCGUUUCUACAGGAAAAGUCACAGAAGUCUACAGAUUACAGCUGCGUGUGUGUCAGCGUGUUUCCCUUCAUGCUCUGAAUAAUAUUAGGUUGGAUUCAAAUCCCUGCACUUCACUGAAUUAAUGAGGUUUGAAUUCGAGCCAGAUCAGCUGUUUGAUUUGCACUGAUUACAGAGAUUUGUCAUUUGUGUCUCUCUGAAAUUAAAACACCAUGAAAACAGA